UCACAACCGCCUCUCACCUCUCUGCCUUAAGCCACUUCCUACCGCCCGCCGGAAAUCGCCUACGGCGGCAGCCGGCAUUCAAACACCCUCAAAUUUACACCACAGCCUUUCCUUCACCUCCUCAUCUCAAAUCCACACCCAAUUUCCCUCAAAACAUACUCAAACUCAUCGAAUCUUGAUUCUAAUACAUGAACCCUAGCGCCGCCAUAGUUUCUCCUGUGGCGGCACAAUCACCUAACCACCCCAAAACCACAUCCUAUAACCACUUCACUCCCGUUAUCCUAAAUCAACUCAGUUUCUCCCAAAUACCUCUAAAAUUGUGCAAAUUUUAGAUCUAGGGUUUUCGAAUCCCGGAAGUCCAAGUCCUAAAUGGGUCUCUGCUCGUCUUUCUCAAGUUCUAUUUGGCUUCGUCCCCUGAUAACGCUGUCUGUUUAUUCUUUCCAAGAAAAAAUGGGCGAUUUAUCUGGAACGGAGUCAAAGGUUCAAGUCCUAGAUUCUGUUCAACUAGGUGAGUUCUCCUUCAUUCAUUUUUUUUUAUUGAUUCAACUUCCUUCUCAUCCCCCCUUCUUCAGGUUAAAAUGCAUGUUCUUACUCUAGGUUCGAACUAAAUCUUAUUCAUGUUCUCCUAUUAAUUGAACCUUAUAAGUCUUGAUCCGUUUGUUUUGGAUUUUAAUAUAUGUGAUCAAUAAACUUAAUUAUCUCAUGUCAGUUUGUUUAAGUUUAAAUUUAUUUUAAUCAGUACUUAGUUUAAUUGCGAUGAGUUUUGUAAUGGAGUUUCUGUUUAAACAUUGGUCUACAUGAUCUUGGGAAUGUUUGAGUGUUUGAUUCAUCUUAAGCAUGUUUUCAAUUGUCGAAAGUUUCACAUUUUUUUAGUAUUUCAUCCUUUGAUCUAUUAGUAAUUUAAUUUCAGCUUAUUAAGUGUUACUUUACUAAUUGGACUUCAUGAAAAAAAAAUUGAUCAAAUUGUUUCUAUUCCUUCUUGCUUUCAUUAUAAUCCAGAAAAUUAGGUUUGAUUGUUUUUGGGCUCGAGGUGUAUACCUAUAAGUACAGUCUUGGGCUGGUUGCCUUAGGGAUUCUACCAAGGUUCAAUUUGACCAAUAGCCCAUUCAGUAUAAUGUAAAAUGCAGGGGUAAUUAAAGGUAGUUUAGGUAAUGGGCUGAGGGAAUCUAAGGGUAACUAGUUUAGAAGCUUCUAGUGGGGAAUUUUGAUUAAAUUUUCACACUAUAGCUUGACCAACAAGUUAGAAAAUGGACGACUGAGUAGCAAAAGAAAAAUUCAAGAAGGAUUAAAUUGAAAAACAGAACCCUUUAAGGUUGCCCUAUCAACUUGCCUAUAAAGGCGUUGUUACUUGAGACUCAAUUAAGAUAUGGAGGGCUAAAAAACUUAAGAAAAUUGCUGAAAACAUCUGUAGAAAACAAGGUUCCAUUGAUUUUUGGGUUGAUUUUUCGAAGUUCCCAACUUCUAAAGCCAUUCCUGAGCCAUUUUGGUUUAAAAUAAGUUGAAUUCUGGGUAUUUUUAGAGCUGGUUCAAGUUUAAUAUUGGGAACAUUGUUGGUUGAGCUGCUACUUGUUGCUGACACUCUAUUCCUUUCUCUUACUUUGCUCUCCAGGUACAUGGUCCUGAAACUCAUGUAAUUUGAUGUUCCAAUUGAGAAAUAAAAGUAGAGAUGGGAAUUCUGAAUCAUGGCAUAAGAUCUUUUGGCUCUUUUAUGUAGUUUUAUCUGCUUUUCUUCUUCUUUGUAUGCUAAGAUGCCAUCACUGCUAUUCCUUGAAGCAUGGCAUCUGUUCUUUGGCUCUUUAAUUUAGUUUUAUCUGUUUUUCUUUUUCUUUAUUUUCUAAAAUGUCAUCAUUGUUAUUCUAGGAGGUUUCAGACAUUGUAAACUAGUUUAUUUCCAUUCCAUUACAGUUGCUAUUUGAUGUGUAUGUGUCAAGGCUGUUUUGUAAUACUAGUUGGACUAUCGACUCUUGAUUAAUAGGUUUUCGUUAGGAAGUUUAUAUAUUUGUAGUUGCAAGUUUCAUAUUGAUCAAUUCUGAGUCCUGCACUUUGUUUUGUU
rnacentral:lncRNA from 1 species